GUCAGUGUGGCAUAGUGGUUUGAGCACUGGACUAGCACUCUGGAGACCAGGGUUCAAAUCCCAGCUCAGCCA